CGCGUGAGGAACCUGCCUUUCAGAGGGGGACAACAGUUGGAAACGACUGCUAAUACCGCAUAAUGCAUAGGUAUCGCAUGGUACAGAUGCCAAAGAUUUAUCGCUGAGAGAUGGCCUCGCGUCUGAUUAGCUAGUUGGUAGGGUAACGGCCUACCAAGGCGACGAUCAGUAGCCGGACUGAGAGGUUGGCCGGCCACAUUGGGACUGAGAUACGGCCCAGACUCCUACGGAAGGCAGCAG
rnacentral:rRNA from 1 species